UACGAAGGGGCUAGCGUUGCUCGGAUUGACUGGGCGUAAAGGGCGCGUAGGCGGUUCGUACAGUCAGACGUGAAAUCCUGGGCUCAACCUGGGGCUGCGUUUGAUACGUGCGGACUUGAGUGCGGAAGAGGGUCGGUGGAAAUUCCCGAGUGAGAGGUGAAAUUCGUAGAUAUUGGGAAGAACACCGGUGGCGAAGGCGGCGACCUGGUCCGAUACUGACGCUGAGGCGCGAAAGCGUGGGGAGG
rnacentral:rRNA from 1 species